GCGCAGCAGAUCGAUACUACUGAUCGGUAUCGAUUAUCUGUGGUCGAUACAGCCGCCGCAACGGAAGAGGAAGUUAUAACAGCCGGAAGAACACACUGCAGUUUCUCUGGCUGGGAAGCAGCGAGGAAGAAGAGUCAGACCUGUUACCUGCUGUCAGUGUGAAUGAUGAAGCUCACCUUGAACAGCCAGGAGCUGCUCGUCUGUGGUCCAGCGGGCGUUCACCUUCUGGUUACACUGCGACAACACAGAACGACAGACAGGAACAGGAUGUGAAGAUACUGCCCUCUAGUGGUGAUUCAUCAGCGCUCAAUACAAACCGCUGUAAUUAGUAAUAAAGUUCACAGUUUGAAUGUG